rnacentral:rRNA from 1 species
GACGAACGCUGGCGGCGUGCUUAACACAUGCAAGUCGAACGAUGAAGAAGAGCUUGCUCUUCGGAUUAGUGGCGAACGGGUGAGUAACACGUGACUAACCUGCCCCUUUCUCUGGGAUAACGCUCCGAAAGGAGUGCUAAUACCGGAUACCCACAUCGAGGCACAUGCCUUGAUGUGGAAAGUUUUUCGGAAAGGGAUGGAGUCGCGGCCUAUCAGCUUGUUGGUGAGGUAACGGCUCACCAAGGCGACGACGGGUAGCCGGCCUGAGAGGGGGACCGGCCACACUGGGACUGAGACACGGCCCAGACUCCUACGGGAGGCAGCAGUGGGGAAUAUUGCACAAUGGGCGAUAGCCUGAUGCAGCGACGCCGCGUGAGGGAUGAAGGUCUUCGGAUUGUAAACCUCUUUCAGUAGGGACGAAGCGAAAGUGACGGUACCUAAAGAAGAAGCACCGGCUAACUACGUGCCAGCCGCCGCGGUAA